UACGUAGGGCGCAAGCGUUGUCCGGAUUUAUUGGGCGUAAAGAGCGUGUAGGCGGCCAUGUAGGUCCGUUGUGAAAACUCGAGGCUCAACCUCGAGACGCCGAUGGAAACCAUGUGGCUAGAGUCCGGAAGAGGGAGAGUGGAAUUCCUGGUGUAGCGGUGAAAUGCGCAGAUAUCAGGAAGAACACCCGUGGCUAAGGCGGCUCUCUGGGACGGUACUGACGCUGAGACGCGAAAGCGUGGGGAGCGAACAGG
rnacentral:rRNA from 1 species